rnacentral:rRNA from 1 species
UACGGAGGGGGCUAGCGUUGUUCGGAAUUACUGGGCGUAAAGCGCGCGUAGGCGGACCUGCAAGUCGGGGGUGAAAGCCCGAGGCUCAACCUCGGAACUGCCUUCGAUACUGCGGGUCUCGAGUCCGGGAGAGGUGAGUGGAAUUCCUAGUGUAGAGGUGAAAUUCGUAGAUAUUAGGAAGAACACCAGUGGCGAAGGCGGCUCACUGGCCCGGUACUGACGUUGAGGUGCGAAAGCGUGGGGAGCAAACAGG